UAUUUUUAUAAUAGGCUUCUCCCCCACAAGUGCCUAGUUUCUUAAAUAUUCAUUAUUAUUAAUUUCCCUCAUUAAGCAAAAAAAAUCUCUUUGAAGUAACCUGAAUAAUCUCAGGGAAUCAUUGAUAUAUAUGCAAAUUAUCUUGUAGAGAUAAUUAAAUGUGCCAAAAUAUUUAUUUAUCUUUUUAUUAUUGGAAAAUCAAGAGUAUUUUCCAAAUGUUUCUACUCAUAUUCUACUAUAAUCACACCUUUUUUGCUACCACAUUUGUAAAUACUUCCCCAUUACUCCUUGAAAUUUCAGUUGACAAUUUUAUUUUCCCAAUAGAUUUUAUGUAAUUUUAUUAGAAAAGUCAUAUGCUUUUUUUGCCCUGUGUACAUUAGAGUUCAAUUAUUUAGAUACUAAAUAAACUAUCCAUUACACAUUUACUUUAUAAUUCAGUAGAUAAGACUGAAGAAAAUAAGCCUGGCUAUGGAAAUGCUUAUUUGUUUGGGAGGAUGUUUGUCUGGAUCAAUGAUGAGCACAAUUGUCUGAGGAUGCUGAGGGACUCAUUCCAGAUGUCAAUCUGAGGUCCAGAUGAGUGGCCCUCUAAUAGGACAAAUAAGACUCUCAGAGCCUGGCUGUAUUUGAUGAUCCUAAGUGACAACACAAUACCACUGUGAGCAUGCCUUUUAUUUCUUUUGGUGCAGGGCAUUAGCCUUCUAUCUCAUGAAGCAGUAUGAAACUUUAGAUAUACUGUAUGACCCAAAACUUGCUUCAUUUUGUUCACUUUGAAUGGAGAGUUGUACGUAGGUAUUAGUAUAUAGGAAAUAUGUUCUUAAGUAAUAAAUGAGGAAACAAAAGAAAGGUUGAAUUAAGAGGUCAAGCAACUGUGACGAGUACUGAAAGUUUCACUAGUGUUGGCUGAACAAAGGGAACACUGCAUACCUAUAUUAAAUAUUGACAAUGGAAUCAAUUUUAGUGUUUGUUAUUUUUCACUGUAGAAAUUUUUCAGAGACUGUGUCUUUGCUUUUCUUUCUGUCAUGUUUUUCUGAGUUAGACGGGGUGGAAUGAAGUCCUCCACUUCUAAGAAGAGCAGUGCAGUGGACAUGUCAGGCUUGCCAUCGGCCAAGAGAAGAAGGCCUUCCUGGCCCCCGAGUGCCUGUGGUUGGCGGGACCACCAGAAGAAGUGUGCCCCACUAUGGGCACCUUGCCGACAGGAGUGACCAGACGGUGCAUUGGACAGGCCACGCUCGCUGUUGGUCGAGAGAAGGCCUCCCUGGCCCCCAAGUGCCUGUGAUUGGCGGGACCACUGGAAAAGGUGUGCCCUGCUAUGAGCAUCUUACUGACAGGAGCGCCCAGACGGUGCAGUGGACACACCAGGCUCACCAUCGGCCGAGAGAAGAAGGCCUCCCUGAUCCCCGAGUGCCUGUGGUUGGCAGGACUGCCAGAAGAGGUGUUGCCCGCAACGGGCACCUUGCUGACUGGAGCGAGAAGACGGUAAGCCAUCUCCGUGUCAGUUGUGCUGCUGGCUUUAGGCUUUCGCAAGCCUGUCCAAAAGGCCACUAAGGAAGGUUGCUGGCAGGACGUGUGGGGUUUUGAACCCAGAAGGGCCUGUCCUUUAAUGGCUCUGCACGUCCUGGGCCACGGGCAGACCCUGAGUCCUUCGGCUUGUCCCGCUGAGCCAUCCGGCCCACCAGGGUCGGCUGUGCAGGUGGCCCCAAAUGUGCUCGGAUCGAUGAUGACUCCCUCAACAGCAUUCCUUGGAAAGCUGAACAAAAUGAGUGAGAACUCUCUACCGUCUUUCUCGUCGAAACUGAGGUCCAGCACGUUGUCUCCCCUAGGGAAGGUAAGCGUCAGGGACAGCAGGCUUCCCCUUGGUCACACUCCUUCAAGCACCAGCACCCACGGCCUCUGCCUAGGAGAGCCUCAUGGGGGACUCAUGGUCAGGGAAGCAUUUACAACCUAAGCAGGAUUUCCAAGGCAUGCAGGUCCUGAGGGGAAUGGCCGGCGACUGGGGUCACUGGAGCAGCUGGUCCCCAAGGCGUUGGACUUGAAAGGCGUGUCUGUGGCACCAGCCUGGGGUGUCGAGGGCUGGGACCUGUGUGGGCCAGGACGGCCCCACGGGCAUAAGCUCGUGGCAGUGUGUGUUGAGAGGCCAAGCAUGGCAAGCUUGCCUGGCCCAUGGGUGGGUGUGCAGAGGCCCAGCCCGAGGCAGCAGUGAUCCCUGGACGAGCCCUUUCUUUCCCUGACAUUUGUGGAGCAGGCAC